CCCCUCCGGUUCCCUUUCCCAUCGGAUCUGAACACUGGUCUUGGUGGUCGUAUACGGAGGAACAGUGAUACUGAAGCUGGUUCACAGGGCUUUUCGUCAGCCGUGUAGUGUGUGGAUUAGUUUCGAACAAGU